rnacentral:rRNA from 1 species
AACGCUAGCUACAGGCUUAACGCAUGCAAGUCGCGGGGCAGCAUUUCCUUAGCUUGCUAAGGGAGAUGGCGACCGGCGCACGGGUGAGUAACGCGUAUCCAAUCUUCCCAUGUCCACGGGAUAGCCCGUCGAAAGGCGGAUUAAUACCGUAUGAGGUCACAAGCGGGCAUCUAAUUGUGACGAAAGGUUUGGCGGACAUGGAUGGGGAUGCGUCCGAUUAGAUAGUAGGCGGGGUAACGGCCCACCUAGUCAGCGAUGGAUAGGGGUUCUGAGAGGAAGGUCCCCCACAUUGGAACUGAGACACGGUCCAAACUCCUACGGGAGGCAGCAGUGAGGAAUAUUGGUCAAUGGGCGAGAGCCUGAACCAGCCAAGUAGCGUGCAGGACGACGGCCCUAUGGGUUGUAAACUGCUUUUAUACGGGGGUAAAGUCAUCCACGUGUGGAUGUUUGCAAGUACCGUAAGAAAAAGGAUCGGCUAAUUCCGUGCCAGCAGCCGCGGUAAUACGGAGGAUCCGAGCGUUAUCCGGAUUUAUUGGGUUUAAAGGGUGCGUAGGUGGUUUGAUAAGUCAGCGGUGAAAGUUUGCAGCUUAACUGUAAAAAUGCCGUUGAAACUGUCGGACUUGAGUGUAAAUGAGGUAGGCGGAAUGCGUGGUGUAGCGGUGAAAUGCAUAGAUAUCACGAAGAACUCCGAUUG